GGGAAACUGAGAAUAAUGCCCCAUAGUUCACCACACCUGGAACGGUGGGUGGAUGAAAGCUCCGGCGGCAUAGGAAUGGGCUGCGGCGUAUCAGGUUGUAGGGGGUGUAAUGUACCCUCUAGCCAUCUACGCGUACGGGUGUUGAGAGACAUCGCCCGGAGAUGGAUUCUGAGACACGAAUCCAGACCCUACGGGGUGCAGCAGGCGCGAAAACUUGGCAAUGCGAGCAAUCGUGACCAGGGAACUCCAAGUGCAUCGGGUAAGACCGAUGCUUUUCUUGACUCUUCAAAGGUCUUGGAAUAAGGGGUGGGUAAGGACGGUGCCAGCCGCCGCGGUAAUACCGGCGCCUCAAGUGGUAGUCGCUUUUAUUGGGCCUAAAACGUCCGUAGCCGGUUUGGUACAUUCGUGGGUAAAUCAAGACGCUCAACGUCUUGAAUUCUGCGAGCACGGCCAGACUUGGGACCGGGUGAGGUGUGGGGUACUCUCAGGGUAGGGGUAAAAUCCUGUCAUCCUGAGAGGACCACCUGUUGCGAAGGCGCCACACUAGAACGGAUCCGACGGUCAGGGACGAAGCCUAGGGGCACGAACCGGAUUAGAUACCCGGGUAGUCCUAGGUGUAAACGCUGUGGACUUGAUGUUGGGAGCGACCAGAUCGCCCUCAGUGUCGAAGCGAAGGUGAUAAGUCCACUGCCUGGGGAGUACGGUCGCAAGGCUGAAACUUAAAGGAAUUGGCGGGGGAGCACUGCAACCUGAGGAUUGUGCGGUUUAAUUGGAUUCAACGCCGGG
rnacentral:rRNA from 1 species